rnacentral:tRNA from 1 species
GAAAUAUUCCAAAAAAGCUUCUAACUUUUUACCAGUGAUUUACUCAUUAAUAUUUCU